rnacentral:rRNA from 1 species
UAGUCCACGCCGUAAACGAUGUCUACUAGCCGUUGGGAGACUUGAUUUCUUAGUGGCGCAGCUAACGCAAUAAGUAGACCGCCUGGGGAGUACGGCCGCAAGGUUAAAGCUUAAAAUGAAUUGACGGGGGCCCGCACAGGCGGUGGAGCGUGUGGUUUAAUUCGAAGCAACGCGCAGAACCUUACCAACCCUUGACAUGUGUAUCGAGAUUUCUGGAGACAGAUUUCGUCAGUUCGGCUGGAUACAACACAGGUGCUGCAUGGCUGUCGUCAGCUCGUGUCGUGAGAUGUUCGGUUAAGUCCGGCAACGAGCGCAACCCACGUCCUUAGUUGCCAGCAGUUAAGCUGGGCACUCUAAGGAAACUGCCGUGAUAAGCGGAGGAAGGUGUGGAUGACGUCAAGUCCUCAUGGCCUUACGGUUGGGCGUACGACACGUGCGUACAAUGGCAGUGACAAUGGGUUAAAUCCGAAAAAACUACGUACUACUAGUCGUAUUAGGGUCGUGUCGAACUACGACCCCGUA